rnacentral:rRNA from 1 species
GCUAGUUGUGGGCCACAUUCCACGUGGUCCGUGACGAAGUUAACACAGUAAGCACCCCGCCUGGGGAGUACGGUCGCAAGACUAAUACUCAAAGGAAUUGACGGGGGCCCGCACAAGCGGCGGAGCAUGCGGAUUAAUUCGAUGCAACGCGAAGAACCUUACCAAGGCUUGACAUAUAGAGGAAACGUGCAGAAAUGUACGCCCCGCAAGGUCUCUAUACAGGUGGUGCAUGGUUGUCGUCAGCUCGUGUCGUGAGAUGUUGGGUUAAGUCCCGCAACGAGCGCAACCCUCGUCCUAUGUUGCCAGCACGUAAUGGUGGGAACUCAUGGGAGACUGCCGGGGUCAACUCGGAGGAAGGUGGGGAUGACGUCAAAUCAUCAUGCCCCUUAUGUCUUGGGCUUCACGCAUGCUACAAUGGCCAGUACAAAGGGCUGCAAUACCGUAAGGUGGAGCGAAUCCCAAAAAGCUGGUCUCAGUUCGGAUUGAGGUCUGCAACUCGACCUCAUGAAGUCGGAGUCGCUAGUAAUCGCAGAUCAGCAACGCUGCGGUGAUACGUUCCCGGGCCUUGUACACACCGCCCGUCAAGUCACGAAAGUCGGUAACACCCGAAGCCGGUGGCCUAACC